AAUUUUCCGCAAUGGGCGAAAGCCUGACGGAGCAACGCCGCGUGAGGGAAGAAGGUCUUCGGAUCGUAAACCUUUGUCAUCGGGGACGAUCAUGACGGUACCCGAGGAGGAAGCCCCGGCUAACUACGUGCCAGCAGCCGCGGUAAUACGUAGGGGGCGAGCGUUGUCCGGAAUUACUGGGCGUAAAGGGCGCGUAGGCGGCCCAAUAAGUCAGAUGUGAAAAACCUGGGCUUAACCGAGGUCUUGCAUUUGAAACUGUUGGGCUUGAGGACAGGAGAGGAAAGCGGAAUUCCCAGUGUAGCGGUGAAAUGCGUAGAUAUUGGGAGGAACACCAGUGGCGAAGGCGGCUUUCUGGACUGACCCUGACGCUGAGGCGCGAAAGCCAGGGGAGCGAACGGG
rnacentral:rRNA from 1 species